GGGUGGUAAUGCCGGAUGCUCCAUCACACCGCAUGGUGUGUUGGGAAAGCCUUUGCGGCAUGGGAUGGGGUCGCGUCCUAUCAGCUUGAUGGCGGGGUAACGGCCCACCAUGGCUUCGACGGGUAGCCGGCCUGAGAGGGCGACCGGCCACAUUGGGACUGAGAUACGGCCCAGACUCCUACGGGAGGCAGCAGUGGGGAAUAUUGCACAAUGGGCGCAAGCCUGAUGCAGCGACGCCGCGUGAGGGAUGGAGGCCUUCGGGUUGUAAACCUCUUUUGUUAGGGAGCAAGGCAUUUUGUGUUGAGUGUACCUUUCGAAUAAGCACCGGCUAACUACGUGCCAGCAGCCGCGGUAAUACGUAGGGUGCAAGCGUUAUCCGGAAUUAUUGGGCGUAAAGGGCUCGUAGGCGGUUCGUCGCGUCCGGUGUGAAAGUCCAUCGCUUAACGGUGGAUCCGCGCCGGGUACGGGCGGGCUUGAGUGCGGUAGGGGAGACUGGAAUUCCCGGUGUAACGGUGGAAUGUGUAGAUAUCGGAAAAGAAACACCA
rnacentral:rRNA from 1 species